rnacentral:lncRNA from 12 species
GGGAGAGGCAUCUUGAUUCAACUGUUCAUGAAGAGAAGAGAAAAUGCAUAGGAAUGCUGGAGGGAGAAGUCCCAAAAAGUUGGCCACAGGGAACGGUCAUCUACCUCGAGAUCUCUGGCUUGAGAAGGAGAAGAGGAGGAGGUUGUUUCUCACAACUGGUGUGUACCCAACUUGCUGAAGCACUACGGGAUGAGCAAGAACCAUGGGUCUCACCUGACACGUGCAGAGUCAUUUCCAGCCCAGGAUGUGGGUCUUCUAGCCGUGACUCGGUAACUGGAUCCCAGAGGUAGGAUUUUGCAUUGGUCACAUUAUUGGGUGUACUGGAGCCAGCUUCACACUCGUGCUGACAGGCUCCAUGGUCAGGUCCAUGACCGUCUCAAAUCCCUACUGAUGUGGGUUCUGUAAAUGUACCCAUGUAGUGAGUGAUUUGGCAUCAAUCACAAAACCUUCACAUUUCUAUGCCACAGGUUUAUUGACAUUUGGAUCUAAACAGCUGUUUAUUGGGUGUUCUGGGUACUGUAGACUAUUGAGCGUCACGUCUGGCCUUGACUAUCAGAUGCCGGUGGCAACCCAAAACGUCUCUGGCCAUUGCCAAAUGUCUCCUGGGAGAUGUGGACUCUCACCUGUGCUGUAGUGUCUGUAGACACAACCUGGUCUGGGAGCCUGCAUUACAGACAGAUUCUUGAUAGAACCAAAGUAGAGCAUAAAAUCUCUGUGAACGGAUCAGAAAAUCCAGGUUGAGUCUACGUGCUGGGACAGCCAUGAGAACACAUAAUGCCUGUGCCUGACGGGGAGUUUUGUUUCUGGCUUUUUGUGAAAGGGGAUGCACUUCUAUCGCCAGGCCAGCUGUACGGCCAGAGUAUGAAGGCUGCUCCCUGGACAGCUGGGGUCUGGGCUUCGGAAGAGCAUGGAUAAUGGAUUAUUGAUGACUCCUUUCUCAUCCAGUAGUCUCUCAACAUCCUGCUAUGAGCUCACCUCCCCACCCUGACUCCAACUGCAGACCUUCACCACCCCUGGAGUGGACUCCCGUCCCCACAUUGGCUCCGUGGAUGACAGUCUUGACCUCUACCACUUAUCCUGGUCCAGUAGCAUUGCUCAAGCCAAUGUUGUGCAAUCUUCUCCCUUCCAAAGGAAACAGAGAACAUCAAAAAGCAAACUUGCUGUUGGAUUCUAGUUGCCUAAGUGGUACUCUUCACCUUUUUCAUCAGAGUACAAGAGAGUCCAGCAAUGAGGUCUCCUGUGGGAUAAAUGAAUCUGCAAUACAAGGAAGGAAGAGCCAGACAAUUGGGUGGUUUUACUUUCCAAAGAUCUUGCUAGCCGAGAAUUGCCAACUACCCAGAUCUGUUGGGGAAGAUGUAAUAGAGAUGAAUAAGCUGCUCAAACCAAGUGCAAGCCAUCGCUGGUAAGAACACCACCCCUGAGAUCUGCCCUCCUGUCAGAUGUUCAAGUGCACGAUCCUGGUAACUGUACACGCUGAGCUGUAGAGCAGAGGUGUGGAGCUGCACCUCCCUUGCAUGGUAAGGUACCUCAAGAGCAGGUACCCAUUUUGGUCUCCCCCCAAGUCCUUGGCAACCACUGUUGUACUGCAAUCAGGGUGUCUAGGAGAUCUGUGUCCAGUGCAUUAUUUGCGAUAACCAAGAUGUGCUAACAAUGCAAAUGUCCCUUGCAGGGUGAUGAGGUAAAGAGGCGUGUGCACGCGACAGCAUCUCAGUAAGAAAGAAGGAAAGCCUCUGUGUGUGAAGACAUGGAUGAGCACUGAGGACUCGGUGAAAUAAGCCAGU